rnacentral:rRNA from 1 species
GAUACUCAAUUUAAAGUUAGUAAACAAAAUUCCAUACUCAAUGUCAUAGAUCCCUACAGAAUUAUGUGGAAAGACGUAUUCAAUGAAAGUUGUAUGUACGGCUUGGAGGGAUAUCUUUUCUAUCUUUUGAGAUUCACCCUACAAGAAAGACUAAUUCAUUUGGAUCGAUAUAAGGACCCAACCCUAUUGCAUUGUCGGAAUGGGGGGAGAUGGAUAGUGCGUUCGAGCUAUGGGGUUCUCCUGCCACCUGUGUGGUCAGUUUUAAUGUUCGCUCACACAGGAUCAUGUGGAAUACGACCGGACGAGUCGUGUGGUCGGGUGUCCAUUGUGUCACAAGUGUGGUGA